rnacentral:rRNA from 1 species
UACGGGGGGGGGCAAGCGUUGUUCGGAAUUACUGGGCGUAAAGGGCUUGUAGGUGGCCAACUAAGUCAGACGUGAAAUCCCUCGGCUUAACCGGGGGAACUGCGUCUGAUACUGGAUGGCUUGAGUGUGGGAGAGGGAUGCGGAAUUCCAGGUGUAGCGGUGAAAUGCGUAGAUAUCUGGAGGAACACCGGUGGCGAAGGCGACUCCUGGACC